rnacentral:rRNA from 1 species
AUUGAACGCUGGCGGCAGGCCUAACACAUGCAAGUCGAACGGAUGAGCGGAGCUUGCUCCUGGGGUCAGCGGCGGACGGGUGAGUAAUGCCUAGGAAUCUGCCUGGUAGUGGGGGAUAACGUCGGGAAACGGGCGCUAAUACCGCAUACGUCCUGAGGGUGAAAGUGGGGGAUCUUCGGACCUCACGCUAUCAGAUGAGCCUAGGUCGGAUUAGCUAGUUGGUGGGGUAAAGGCUUACCAAGGCGACGAUCCGUAACUGGUCUGAGAGGAUGAUCAGUCACACUGGAACUGAGACACGGCCCAGACUCCUACGGGAGGCAGCAGUGGGGAAUAUUGGACAAUGGGGGAAAGCCUGAUCCAGCCAUGCCGCGUGUGUGAAGAAGGUCUUCGGGUUGUAAAGCGCUUUUAGUUGGGAAGAAGGCCAGUGAGUUAAUACCUUGCUGGUUUGACGGUACCGACAGAAUAAGCACCGGCUAACUUCGUG